rnacentral:rRNA from 1 species
AGAGUUUGAUCCUGGCUCAGAAUCAACGCUGGCGGCGUGCCUAACACAUGCAAGUCGAACGAGAAAGUGGAGCAAUCCAUGAGUAAAGUGGCGACCGGGUGAGUAACACGUGACUAACCUACCUCCGAGUGGGGAAUAACUCCGGGAAACCGGGGCUAAUACCGGAUAACUUCUUCCUCCGCAUGGAGGAAUAUUGAAAG